UUAAUCCCACUAUCGUUAUGAAUAAAAAUUUCUAACCUAAACGUGAGAUAGCUGUCAAACUACGCAGUUUAAUUGCAAUAUUUACGAGAAAAUGCUGAUGAUCUUUUUAAUCUGUAUUUUGGCGAGCUUCGGGCGAGCAGCCGCAUCGAAUGGUUUUGAUUUCGGAGACACAUUGGCCCUAAUAUUGGGUCUCAUGAUAGGGAUCAUUGGAUUUUUCGCUUGUAUGGGAGCGUACGCUAGGAGAAAAAAUCGCUUUGAUUCACUCUAAUGUACAAUAUUUACAGUACCACUCACGGAACUCUGCUCUAUUGACAAUACCAAGGACAGUGUCACUUUCCUUAAGGAUUAUUGGAUAUUUGAAUACUUCACCAAGAGAAGCAUAUUUCAGGACUGUUUCUUGUCUUUUACUUACAAGUGCAACAUCAAAUUAUUUCUCUACAAUUUCUACAAGCGACUACAAGCUAGGUAUUCUAUUAGUGUGACCAAAAGAAUGCAAUGGCAGAAGAGAAAUCAAAGAACUAUAGCCCUGAGUCGGGAAGAACUGUAAUAUGUAUGACAAGUGAGAGUAAUUUUCCAUUGAAAUAAGAGUAAAAGAUUAUAAUUAAUAUUUCAUUAUCUAUUUUUAAUUUGCACAAAGCUCGAUUGUAAUUCAAUGAUAAUCAAUCGCUCAUAAUAAAUGGGUACCCCUUU